UGGUGCAAUGGUUGAGCAUUUGGUUGCUAACCAAAAGAUCGGUGGUUCAAAUCUACC
rnacentral:tRNA from 1 species